rnacentral:lncRNA from 1 species
CAGGCAGCCCCCGCACAGGGGCAUAAGAGCUUCCGGGUGGUACACUGGAGGCAGAUGGGUAUCUGCAGGCAGGCCCUGAAGUUUCUGAUGCAGAUCUGGGCCCAGCCCCUCAUCAACCUGCAGAUGGCAAACGCAUCUCUGUACGAGCAUGUGGAGCGGAUGCACCUCAUCGGGAGGAGCUGGGAGCAGCUAAAGCUCCUGGGGGAUUACCUGGGCCCGUGCUGGAGCGGUGCCCUGAAGGAGCUCAGGAGGAGG